rfam:Schistosoma mansoni strain Puerto Rico chromosome 1, complete genome
CUGACGAGUCCCAAAUAGGACGAAACGCUCGUU